GCCAUUUUACUGUGGUCUAAAGUGCGGCGUCGUUAGGCAUCGAACCGGGACGGGUCUUCUUCCUACAUUACACAACUUUUUUUUAAAUAUAUUUUUAAACCUGAAACUGGUAAUUGACACCACAUAAUUUCUUUCGAUAUUCAUUAAACUUCAGUGUUGUAAUAUAAAAGUUAAUACCACGGCACAAACAAGCCGACAACGACUAGCUAGCAAAGGCUAACACACCACUAACGAUAAGGUCGCGAGAUAUUGUUGGUUUUGGUAGGCCUCUGUUAUGUAGCAUAAGCUAAAAAUAUAAUUGAAAUAAAAACACAAUAUAAGAGGUGCUAAGGCGGGUGUUAAACAUAAGACAUAAAAUCCAUUGUCAUAUGUACUCCACUAUUUUAUCUAACAUUAGUCUUUGUUGCCCUUCAUACAGUAACGUUAUUGCUUUCCUUCUCUGCUGGGAAUCGUUCGUAGUUCGCUCCAGCUAACUGAGCUGCUUUUAAAAUUUAUAAACAGUAAGUAUCUGAUUGUUGUCUUGACUGUUUUGUUUUUUUAAAGCUUUCACUUUAAAUACUUUGAACUCUCUGUUCUUGGUCACGUUAGUGGUCUCAGAUAUCUUUACUUGUAACGUUAAACUCACGACCUUUUAAUUUGGGGCUACAGGAGAAAUCCCGUUAUUUGGUUUAAUAAUAUUUUGAGUCUGUAACUUUGUAAAUCAUUUUUUGUUUAUCGCGUCAUAUCGCGUAUAAGUACUAUUUAGCUUCGCUACAGUUUUUUUUCUUCCUUAAGAUGGAAGCCAGAGUUGUUGUUCAGGUUUAUCAGUGUCGAACUGAGUACAUGUCUGGUGAAAAUAAACAAUCCAGGCCUGGACUCUCGAAAAGGGCAGAUUCAGUUGUUAUUUAUUCUGAAUUCGAUACUUGAAAUAUAUAAACAUGGGUUAAUAAUCUAGUCAAAUAGAGUCUGACCUGGACUCUUGUUAAAACUAAACUCAUCUGCAGUCAUUAUUGAUUGUAUUGUGUCUCACUCCUUGCAGAAAUGUCCAACUGUCACCUUUGUAUUUGUGAAGAACUAUCUGUCUCUUAAUAACACUUUGUUUCAGUUCCCUGGGGGAGUGUUUUUGAUUCAUUUUUUAGGUUUAAAUCCACCCUCUUGGCUCUUUGCUGGAAUCCCUGGAUAUGGAUAGCAUUCCCCCCAUGAAAAUUCGUUGGCAGAAGAUUUUUUUUUUCUCUUCAGCUUUGGUUGAAAAUCUCUAACGGCUUGAAUAUCCUGUCAAUUUUUCUUCUGUUACCAUCACCCAAAUGUCAACAACUCCCAAGAAGAAGCUGAGGAUUGUUUUUCCACCUGCCAUCCACACCCUUUUUGCUAAGCAUUUUUGGAGAUCAAUUUUUUUGUUUUCUGGCAGUUUAUGCCCCCCUAUUUCUUUAUUUUAUUAGUUGCACCAAUUAAUAAAAAAUAAUCAAAAAAAGUUCCCAAAGGACUCUAUUGCAUCCACCUUCAGUUAUGCUUAGCAGUCUUGCGGGAUAAAGAUUUCUCAGAGUCUCAGAAAAGGGAUGUCGUAAGAAGACAAGUGUCUCUGGACGAGCCACCCCUCUUUUCCUAUUAUCUCACGGAUCAAGUGUUCCUUCAGGACUCCAUACCACCAAGGAGACACCCCACCAGCAGUGAGGGAUACAACUUCUCAGCCACCUCAGAGAAUCAGCUGCUGGGUUUAUCACCUCCACCACCCGAGGCGUCCCCGCAUUACUAUGACCAACCAUGGAGAUGACUGCUACUUCUUUUACUAUUCCACCUGCACUAAAGGAGACAGCUGCCCAUUCAGACACUGUGAGGCAGCUAUGGGCAGUGAGAUUGUCUGCAACCUCUGGCAGGAGGGACGCUGUUUCCGUACCGUCUGCAAGUUUCGCCACAUGGAGAUCACA